rnacentral:rRNA from 1 species
CGCGUAGGCGGCUUGCCAAGUCCGGGGUGAAAGCCUCCAGCUUAACUGGAGAAGUGCCUUGGAUACUGGCGAGCUCGAGCGAGGUAGGGGCGGGUGGAACUUCCGGUGGAGCGGUGAAAUGCGUUGAUAUCGGAAGGAACGCCGGUGGCGAAAGCGACCCGCUGGACCUCUUCUGACGCUGAGGCGCGAAAGCUAGGGUAGCGAACG